CCUACGGGAGGCAGCAGUGGGGAAUCUUGCGCAAUGGGCGAAAGCCUGACGCAGCAACGCCGCGUGCGGGAAGAAGGCCCUAGGGUUGUAAACCGCUUUCAGUAGGAACGAAAAUGACGGUACCUGCAGAAGAAGGUGCGGCCAACUACGUGCCAGCAGCCGCGGUGACACGUAGGCACCAAGCGUUGUCCGGAUUUAUUGGGCGUAAAGAGCUCGUAGGCGGUUCAGUAAGUCGGGUGUGAAAACUCUGGGCUUAACCCAGAGCCGCCACUCGAUACUGCUGUGACUUGAGUUCGGUAGGGGAGCAGGGAAUUCCUAGUGUAGCGGUGAAAUGCGCAGAUAUUAGGAGGAACACCGGUGGCGAAGGCGCUGCUCUGGGCCGAUACUGACGCUGAGGAGCGAAAGCGUGGGUAGCAAACAGGAUUAGAUACCCUGGUAGUCCACGCCGUAAACGUUGGGCACUAGGUGUGGGUUCCAACCAACGGAAUCCGCGCCGUCGCUAACGCAUUAAGUGCCCCGCCUGGGGAGUACGGCGGCAACGCUAAAACUCAAAGGAAUUGACGG
rnacentral:rRNA from 1 species